rnacentral:rRNA from 1 species
AACCUGCCCAAGAGAUCGGGAUAACACCUGGAAACAGAUGCUAAUACCGGAUAACAACAGAUGAUGCCUAUCAACUGUUUAAAAGAUGGUUCUGCUAUCACUCUUGGAUGGACCUGCGGUGCAUUAGCUAGUUGGUAGGGUAACGGCCUACCAAGGCGAUGAUGCAUAGCCGAGUUGAGAGACUGAUCGGCCACAUUGGGACUGAGACACGGCCCAAACUCCUACGGGAGGCAGCAGG